rnacentral:rRNA from 1 species
CACGUAGGGGACGAGCGUUGUCCGGAUUCAUUGGGCGUAAAGCGCGCGUAGGCGGCUCGGUAAGUCGGUCGUGAAAUGCCGGGGCUCAACCCCGGGACUGCGUCCGAUACUCCCGAGCUGGAGGCAGGUAGGGGAGAUCGGAAUUCCUGGUGUAGCGGUGAAAUGCGCAGAUAUCAGGAGGAACACCAGUGGCGAAGGCGGCACUCUGGGCCAGUACUGACACUGAGGAGCGAAAGCGUGGGGAGCGAACAGG